AAUACUCCCAGUCACUGGAGUUCCUUCCCAAAUGACCUCGUAUUUAUUUUGUGCAUAUAGUUUGUCUACUUCUUUGUUGACAUCUGUAAUUUGGUGAGGACCUCUCUCCAGUCCACCCUGGCUAGACUGGUUUGGGACCUCUGGCUGCAAGGCCAUUUGCCCCAGAGAAGCCAUCCCAGAUCAGCAGAGCCUGCUGGAACCUGCCUUCCACUGAUGAAGCCUUGGAGGGACCAAGGUCACUGCCACACUAUGACAAGGCACUGAAAGACUGCGGAGGAGAAAGGGAGACAGGACUUUUGCAAACCAUAGCAACACACCCAGAACUCCAGACAAAAGGGUGAAGUCCAAAAAGAAGAGAGGGCUUGUCAUUGAACUCCCACAGCCUCUAAUGGAGAGAAUUCAGUUUUCAAUCAGAUGUCAGCAUCAGAGGCCAAAGUGAAUACAAAAGAAGGAUGCAGAGGAGGAAAGAAACAGGAAAGGCGAAGCAAAUGAGGUCCAGAGGCCCAGCAACCAGAAGAAUUUUGAACUCAGGCCACCACACCCGUUCUGAUGGCGCCCCUCCUCCCAGCCUCUCUUUUUAUUGGCCUGCCCCUUUCUCCAGGGCUGGAAGGGAAAGUGAUCUCCCCAGGAAAUAAGCCCAUAGAGCUGUAAAAUUCUAUGCCCGCUAUUACAUGAGUGACCUAUGAGCAAGACUAGUGGCCUCCUAAGCCGGAGCCCCCACAUGCCUCCCCUCUGCUCCUUUCCUUCUAGAAUUUUCUUGUCCUGCCUCAUCAUUUAGUUUAAAAAAAUGACAAAAAAAGGGAUUAAUAGUAGUUAAAGAUAUGCUUGUGCUUAUUGGCUGCCACCCUUCUACCUUACACAUGCACAUACACACACAUACACAUAAACCCUGCCUAGUUUUAAGAUUGAAUAUUUUAGAAAAAAAAUAGAAUAAAAAAUAAUCCACCUGAGCAUGGUAAGUGCAGAGAGGAGGGAAGUCUGCACUACCCAAGAGUCACCUUGAUUCCAAAACACAGAUCCCUAUAAGGAGGCUUUCUCAGGAAGAAAGUCAAAUGUUGUUAAGGAUACUUCAAACUGCACAAGAUAUAAUGAAAAAUAAAACUGGUCUUUUUCUCCCGGUCAAAAAGAGGAUAAAACUAAAUCAUUGAUUCAGAGCUCAAAGGGACCUGAGAAGUCGCUGAGCCCAACCCCUUCAUUUUACAGAAGGGGAAAUUGAG